rnacentral:lncRNA from 1 species
AUGUUUUGGAAGCGGAAGUGUGUGAAAUGUAUUGAUGCUGAUGAUAGUGCCGAAUUUGGCGACACUCCUCAACUAGCAGAGCAGUAACAGAGCUUCUUCCAACUCAAAUUUAAUGAUUCAAGCUGCGUAAGAUUUGCAUAACAUUCCCAAGUUGUAGUCGAUGUGCCUGAGUGGUUGAGUGCUUGACUAAUGAAUAUAACCACUAAGAUUUGGAUUGUUUUUGGGGGGUAAGAAAUAACAUUGCUAAUUUUGGAUUUAUGGGUUUGAAUUUUUGUCGAGUAUGUGAUUCUUUGUUCUCUGUGUAUUGAUUGACUGAUGAAAAAAUGUAGCCAUAAAAUAUUGAUUUUGACAAUUUUGAUUAUGAGAUUGCCUCUUUAUAUAAUGUACAAUUUUGUAGUUGCCUUCAAUGUUGUUGUCAUUGGCUCGGGUGCUCAAAAGAUCUAUACAAUGUCGUUUUGCCAAUAAUGUGGGUAUUGAGUUGAAUAUCAUAAAAGUGAACAUCUGUAACUAUAGAUCUGCAAAUGUUUGGUAGAUGGAGCAAUUUGGGAAUUUGUUACCUAAACAUUGAUGGAUAACCUGUAAUCAUUUUUUUUACGUGAAUGUUGAAUGUUGAAUGCCUUAUCGUUUUGGUUUUUAACAUGCCAUUGUUUAUCUAUAUCCAAAAUGAGUCUGAAUCUUUUCAAAUAAAUGUUACUUUCUGAUUUGAGAAAUUGUAAUUCACCUUUUAUUGAUCUUUUCCUAUAUAUUUGAUUUACAGAGCUCUUGGGUUGUCAAUUGUGACUGGAAAUUCUACUCCUCACAUGGAUCAUAGGUAAAAAACACCAUUUUCUUUUCUUAGUACUUAUCCUUCAAAUGUGUUUUAUUAUGAGAUUGUCUCUUUAUAUAUUGUAAAUUUCUAGCACUUAUGCAAACUUUAGAGCAUAUAGGAAAGCAAAUGUUUUCCAUUUUAGGUACAAAGAACCAAAUAUGUUAUCUAUGUCUUCAAUGAAAUGCUUUAGUGUUAUUGCUUUUAAUUGUUUAGUUUUAACUAAUGUUUGGAUGCUUAAAAAUAUUAUUCAUUUUGUCUUUUUGAACCUGAACAGAUAAUCAAAUUGGAAUAGAUUCUAUUUUUUGAGUUCAUUUUGCUUAUUAGUUUAACUUACUUCUUUGAACCAAAUGCAAAUUCCAAUCUUGCAUUGUUAAGCCCCGAAAUUAGAACAAAAAAACUUGCAUGAAAUUGAAGUUUUCUCUGAUUGAGAACUCCUUUUUCUUCUACUUGAAGUUUUCUCUGAUUGAUUUUUCAAUAAUUUAGAAAUGGGUAUGUUAAAUUGUGGGUUACGAUUUCAAAAUCCACAGUGGAGCGUGGACAUUUUUUCUAGUAUGAAACUUAUUUUGCACAACGAUUAACAAAUUGUUUGCACCUUUACGCAAUCUCCAUUAGAAAAGCCACAAGUUUCUCGACCAAGCAAAUUGGUAUCAUAAUAUCCAACGGUUGCAAAUUAGCCUUUUCUCAUUUUUUUAAUUUUCUUUUGAAAAACACCAAGGAGCAGGUGCAGCCAGCACCAUUACUAUGUCUGUCCAAACAUCAAAUGCCCAUUUCUUUCUUUUUCUUCUGCAAAACGGCCACAAUACCCAAACUCUUAUUUUCUAUAAGAAGCUUGCUAAAGACCAAGUACCACAUCAACUAACUGAACUACUUAUAUUAUUGGGGUGAUUUUUAGUCAUCACCCUCAAGUGGUGGUAAUGUUUACCAUCUUAUUUAUUGCCGUUGUAUGGGUUUAAAUUUUAAGAUUUGUUCCAUCCAAGGUAUUAAACUCAUAUGAUGAUGAUAAAUAAGGUAGUGAGCAUCACCAUCAUUUGAGUGUGGAGAACAAAAAUAUUCUUAUGAUAUUGUACGCAAAAGGGGAAAAUUUCCUAAUUGCAAAAGCAAAAUAGAGAUGUAAUAAUUAAAGAGUUUUUAAGCUCUUAAUUAAUGGUAUUUAAUUUGCUUGGUAACGAAAAUUAUUUGGGAGUCAGUCACCUACCGCAUGCAUGCAAAAUGAAGGAGACAAUUCAUGGACCAAAUUACACCACCAUAUCCUGUGGAACUUCACUUAUAGCCCCAUGUUCACUUGGAAGACAUGAAAAUUAUGAACAAAAUUGAUUUUUCUCCUAACCAUGCCAGCUGGGUCAUGAUAAAUUUAUAACUCAAUCAAGUUUAUUUGCUUUGAUAAUUAAUUUUUGAGGUAACAAUUUAUGAUGAGAUUCAUUAAAUACUAACAAUUAGAGGACAAUAUUAAUUGGAGUGCGUUAAAGAUAGUGCAAUAAGUGACACAGCUAUAAGCCACAUUAUCGUGUCCUAAAAACAAAUUUGUUAGUAUUCUGUCGAUUGCCGUUAAAAAAAUCUCUAUCAAUUGUAAUAAAUAUAAAUUCAAAUCCAUUAAUGAACGGUUGAAAAUUUUUCAUUUUUGCAGUUUUAAUAGAAACUCUUUCAUGCCACUUAGUACUACGGUCUUGUAGUAUUCUCUUCACUUGUAAGUGGGAGGUUUUGGGUUUGAUUCUUGUCAAAGACGAAUUUGAACCACAUUAUUGUAAGCUCAUUGAGAAACUAAGCCUAUCCCCUUCCUCUUAGUAUAGAUAAUAUCAAUUGUUCGGAAAAAAAAAAAAAAAAACUCUUUCAUUGUCAAGAUUAGUAGAACGACUGCUAAAACCAUUGGAUUAGAAUUCAGAAUGCAUAUGAGAGUAUUGAUAGCAACAAUGCUAGAAAACCUUGAUUUGUCAUAGCCCAUGGGCUUUAAAGUUGCGGUUAAAAUUCAACAAAAAAAUGGCCAUUUGCAAACCCUAUUAACCAUACCAAUCAACUUGAACCCAAUUCCCUUCACUUAUAUGGAAGAGUUCAUAUAAGUAACAGUCUGAGAUUAGUCAAUUUUCAAUAAACAUGUCCAGUCAACUUGGUGUUUAGAAGAACAUUGUUUAACUUUAGAUCACAAUGAACUAUCGGUGUUUCGCUAUGGUUAUGAAAAUAAUCCAGUGAAUAAUAGCAACACCAAUAACAAUAUCUAGCCCUUGAAGAAGAUUUUAUUCUUGGAUGUAUUGAUCUCUUUCCUCUUCAAUUACAGGAGAUGGAUGCAAAUCAUGCAACAACUCCUCUAAACUCCUUUGGUGUAUCAACUCAAAAACUAGAGCCUUGAAAACAUCAUGGAGAAAACAUGCAGAUAUGACCUUGACGAGAUUUUGAUGCUUGAUAUUUCUCAAAGCCUCAUAUGCAGCUAUGAACCUCUUUGUUAAACACCUUCAUAUCUACAAGUACAAGCCGAGCUCUAUUGUCAGUAUAACAACCCCCUUGUAUACAAACUUGAAAUUGCCAACACCAGUCAAAUUAGCUGAAGAAAACCGAUCAGUGGCAUUUGAUAAAGUAGCAUAUGACACUUACACUGAUGGUGGUCAAGUCUGAUAGGAACUAGAUUUUAAUUUAUUUCAAUAGUACACAAAAAUACCAAGUACAAGAAGUAGUAAUACACUCUUCACACAAUGAACCUCAUUUGUGAUUAUUUACAUUGCAAACUUCCACAUCUACUGUGGUAACAUAAAAACUAGACUUCACAGGCAGUACACGAAAUUUCUCUAUCACAAAAGCACAUAAAAAGGAGUUUCUAUCCAAGAAAAGUAUUCCUGAUGGAAUGAAGUUCAGAUGCAGCGUCAUUGAUAUUCUUUAGUCGAUCUGUUGCGGAUUCAGCAGAACAAGCAAUUCCAAUUCUAAAUAUUGAACUCAAGCACACCUCAACUUUAUGAGUUCUCCCACUGCAUUGAUUGGGAUUCUCGUUCGUGCCUCCUUCAAGAAGUGGUGCGUCUGCAAUCUCAGUAAUUCGCCCGGGGAAAGCCAUCUUGACAAAAUUAUGAAGGUUCAAGUUAUCACCAAACAUGUUGUCAGUUGGUCUCUUCCCUGUAAACAUCUCCAACAAAAGAAUGCCAAAGCUGUAGACAUCACCAUUCGUUGACACCUCACUCCCUAUGCCAUACUCUACAAUUCAAACAUCACAUUUGUGUAUAAAUAGUUCAGUUUGAAUUUUGUAAAUUAAAUACUCCAAAAUAAAAAAGGAAAUAUAAUGAAGUAUACAUCGAACAUGUAUAUACCUGGAGCUGCAUAACCAACCGUUCCUCUUAUUCCAACGGAACUUGUCUGACUCUGAAUUGCUGAAACAUUACUCGUUAAUUGUGAGAGAAACCUUACUAAUCCAAAGUCUGAAACAUGGCCAGUCAAUUCGUUGUCCAAGAGAACGUUGCUUGGCUUGAGAUCACAAUGAACUAUUGGCAUUUCACAAUGAUUAUGAAGAUAAUCCAGUGCACAAGCAACACCAAUGGCAAUUUCUAGCCUCUGAAUAAGACUUAAAUUCUUGGGUACAUGAUCUCUUAACUCUUGAGUUCCAGUAGGUGGAUGCAGCCACUCCUCUAAGCUCCCGUUGUCCAUGAACUCAUAAACUAGAGCUUUGAAAUCAUUACCAUGAAAAUCAACACUUGAACACACGGUUAUAAUCUUGACGAGAUUUCGGUGCCUAAUAUUUCUCAAAGCUUCACAUUCGGCUAUGAAACUCCUCGAAGCUCCAUGGCGUAACAAGUUAAACACCUUCACGGCAACAAGUUGAGCUUUAUCAUCCUCAUCAAGAACUCCCUUGUACACAGACCCAAAACUACCAGCACCAAUUAAAUUAGCCUCUGAGAACCGAUCAGUAACUUUGAGUAGAGUAGCAUAUGACACUUGUAAAAUAGUGUUCCCCAAAGUGCUUAAUGAAAUUUCUUUCCUUUUCUUCCUCGACGAACAAAGAAAGAAAUAGGAGAAUACCAUGGCUAUUCCUAAAAGAGCAAGUCCAAAUACUAAAGGGAGUAUUAGUUUCAAGCUACGAGACAAUCUUCGUUUCUUGGUCUCUUUAGACUUGCACUUAGGAAGCUUUAAAUUAGCAACAUGGCUGCACAGAUUAGUGUUGCCAACAACUGAAAUAGCACUCGCAUUUUUGAAAACACCUCCAGUUGGUACCACUCCCCAAAAUUGAUUGAAUGAUAAGUUCAGAUUACUCAGGAUUCUAAAGCCUUCUAAAAAAUUUGGAAUUUCACCUGAAAAAUUAUUGCGAGAAAGGUCUAGAUUUCGAAUCCCUCUCACUGAACUCAUAGACAAAGGAAUGGACCCGUUGAAGAAGUUUCCUUGCAAAUGCAGGACUUCUAAACUCUCACAACCACCAAGGCUACUGGGGAGUUCUCCAGAUAACAUGUUAUCAGAAAGAUAAAAUUCACUUAGACUCUGGAAAUUCCCAACCUCCAAGGGAAGGGAACCUGUGAAGAGGUUAUUAGACAAGUCCAAAGAAAUCGAUAAGGAGGGGAGUCUAAAAACUUGUUUGGGUAUUGUGCCAUUAAGAAGGUUAUAAGAAAGAUUCAACGAUUGCAACCCAUGGCAUUCCCCCAGACCUGAAGGAAUGCUGCCCUCAAGAUGAUUUCCAUCCAACCCAAGAUAGCAUAACUUGGUUAAAUUUCUUAAGGAAGACGGAAUAUUUCUUGAUAAUUUGUUAUUGGAAAUAUCUAAUAUUCCAAGGUUUGAAAGCUUACCCAUGUCAGAGGGGAUGUUACCCGUGAAGCUAUUAUUCCCCAAAUACAACGAUUGCAAGCUCACCAGAUCCCCUAUCCCAGAUGGGAUGCUUCCAUAUAUUUGGUUACCGCCAACCAAAAACGUUUCAAGUUUGGUUGAGAGAUUGCAUACUGACAUCGGCAAUGUCCCUCCAAAAUUGUUGUCGUUAAUAAUCAACCUUUGUAACUGGGUGGCAUUGGUCGAGUCCGAGAGAAAACUUAAGUCACCAUCUUUACCGCUUCCAAUAUUAUUAAAUUGAACGCUGAAAAUCCGGAGGUUGUGAAGCUUUUGGAGAUUCGGUACCCGUCCGAUUAGGUUGUUAUCCCCAACAUGUAAUAACCAAACACUUGUGACGUUGAAUAUUGAGGGAGGUAUGGACCCAGUGAGUUGGUUGCUGCCGAAGUUGAAGAAUUCGAGAUUAGGAAGACUUUUGCCAAUAUCUGAUGGAAUACUCCCUUGAAUUUGGUUACGGUUUAUGGAAAAUGAAACAAGAGAAGAGAGGUUAUAAAUGGAGGAAGGGAUGCUACCAGACAACUGAUUUAACCCCAAUCCCAAGAAGGUUAAUUUUUUCAAUUGGCCAAGAGAACAGGGGAUGUUUCCCAUCAAGUUAUUACUACCAAGACUUAUUAGCUGGAGAGACGACAGGUUCCCCAAGGAAGGAGGGACCUGUCCCGUUACAUUAUUAUCGUAUGAUGAAAAUUUUUGCAGUUUCGACAGCAAUCCAAUUUCUGAAGGAAUUUUACCCACCAAUUUGUUGAGAGAGAAAUUCACAUGGAUAAGGUUGAAGCAAUAUGAUAUAUUGUGUGGAAUACUGCCACUAAACGAGUUAACGUCUAAUCGCAAUACCUGCAGCCUACGCAAAUUCCCAAUUUGUGGAGAAAUUUCAUGACUGAAGCUAUUAUUUCGCAGCCACAGCUCCCUUAGAAAACUUAGAUUUCCAAUGUUUGGGGAUAGUUUCCCUACCAGAUUUUGAGAUUGCAGGUCCAGUUUAGUGACCCUUUGGCGAUGUCGUUGACUGCACGUCACACCAUGCCACAUGCAAAAGUGCAUGGAUUCGUUCCAAGAGCUCAUCACGUUGUAAUUAUGGAGAUCUUGCUUUAUUUGAGCUUUGAUGGCAAGCAGCGCCAGCCUAUCCGUCGCAUUCCCUCCGAGUCCCGAUUGAAGGGAGCUCCAACAGCAAACGAACACUGCACUGAAAAGCAAGUAUAUUAAGAUCAAUUUCAAAACCAAAACCCCCAUUCCUGAUCUGAUUAACUAUAUAAGUAGAGAGAGAAGCAGAAAGAAAUAGAGAGAUGGGUGUUGAGUUGUGAGUUUGGUGAGUUCCAUUUGUUGCUUGACAAGGAAAUUUAUAGAAGGAUAGGAACAUAGGAGGAACUUACACCACGGUUUCUGGUUCGUGAAAUUCAAAUAUGAGAAGGAAUAUUAGGACCUAUUGUCUGGCACUUUCUGUACGCCAAGGACCAAGACCAUUAAAGCACCUUGAUUCCAGGAGCUGACUGGGACCAUUUGGCAACCAUCCAAAAUGAAAAAAACAAAUACAUGGAAUCCUAUAUUUUGGUUACAUUAGACGUCACGCUGGUGUCAAUAUGAAAGUUUGAAGUCUCUACAUUUUUUGAGGGGCUGGAUUGUGAGAUUGCUGAUUUUCUCAUAGUUCCCCUAAAGUACCAUUGCAAGAAAGCUUGUUGUGGAUGCAACCUUUCUAAAUAUUGUAACAGUUACCAGUUAGAUCAAACUUUAUGAAUUUUUAAACUUCAUGGGGGCUCAAGACUCGAGAGCAUUGAUUGAAAAUUGUAACAUGAAGGCUUAAGUCCCCAUUAAACACGUUGGCAGUGGGUCUCUUCCUUGUAAACAUCUCCUGCAAGAGAAUUUCAAAACUGUAGAGAUAUCCAGUUAUUAACGCCUCACUUCCCAUACCAUACUCUGCCAUUCAAACAUCAGAAAAUAUUGUUAGCAAAUUGAGAACAAAAUAGUUGAAUUAUGCAAAAUUUAAAAUUUAAAAAAAAAGGAUAUUGUGGAGAGGAUGUGAAUAUUUACCUAAAAUCACAUAACCAAUCAUUCUUGUUAGUCCAGUGGAACUUGUCUGAUUUGUUGAAGCUGUUGUACUGGUCAGUUGUGAGAGAAACCUUGCUAAUCAAAGUCAAACAUGUCCAGUCGACAUGUUGUCCAAAAGAACAGUACUUGGUUUCAGAUCACAAUGAACUAUCGGUGUUUCGGAGUGAUUAUGAAGAUAAUCGACUAAUAUAAAACAAGCAACAUCUAUGGAAAUGCUGAGCCUUUGCAAAAGAUUUAAACUCUUGGGUGCCUCUCUCGCUUCUUCAAUAUCAGUCGGUGGAUGCAGCCACGUCUCUAAGCUUCCUUUUUCCAUGUACUCAUAAACCAAAGCCUUGAAAUCAUUACCAAGAGAAUCAACACUUGAACAUGCAGUUAUAAUUCUGACGAGAUUUUGAAGCUUGAAAUUUCUCAAAGCCUCACAUUCAUAUAAAGAACAAUAUGCCAGUACAAAACCAAUUUAUAGUACUAGCAAGGUACAUUGUAGAAGCAAUUUCCUGACUCAGAAUUUUGUGAGUCAUUUCUUAAAUUACGUUUCUUGAAGGCAUUAGAUUAAACGGCAAACUAGAACGACUGAAUGCAACCAUGAUCGUAUUAAUAAGCAAGCACUUCUAUCUAUCAAAUAUUAAGGCGGAAGUUAAUUUACCAAACAAUAAAUAUUUUGUGACUUGCAAUUCCAUUUUGACGUAGGGACACUGCUCAAAUAAUGACACCAGGAACAGUAAUUGUUUAGAUUGACCGCUCGAAAAAGAGUAUACCUGUCAAAAACAUGACGACUGUUAGAAAAUGCAUGCAUAUUCUGAUACUACGUAGAUACGAGGAAAAUGAACUUUUAUUUCCAAUAACAAAACAACAACCUGCCAACACAUACAACCCAAAACAACAAAGUAGAAGCCGCUAUCAACAAAGUGACCAAUUAUUACCACACAGAGAACAGCGAUAACGAUAACACAAUGCCUUCUCCAAACCAUUCUGAUCAGGAACAAGCAGAUACAGAGACUAUUUGCAAUGACAAUAAUGAAGACAUAUUACAGGACAUAUGAUAUCUACAUAUCUACACAAAAUCCAGUUCUCUGAUUUGAUAAAAAAAAUGUGCACACGUCAACUGUGGCUACCAGAUUCUCAUGCAGGGACUCGAUUAGGUUCAUGAAGUCAAACAGUUAAAUCAGAGAUCGAUGAGGAGCUUACCCAACAAUCAAUAGUAUCAAAGAGAGGACCCACAAUACAUAUUGAUACGUCUUGUGUUUAGAUUUAACUGGAGUAGUAAGACAUCCAGGGGAGCAUUCAGUUGGGUAAGUCAUUUAAACUGGGGGCGGAUCAAAAACAAAAAUCCAAGAAGAAAUCCGGACACAAAUCCUCCAAUAUGAGCAAAGUUGUCCAUGUGUGGUAGAAUUCCCACUGCUAAGUUUAUUAUGAUGAUGUAAAGGAGAGUAAGCAUUGUUGCUAACAGCAGAUCGAAAUCUGAAACUGUAAGAUCAAAGGGUCGUUCACAUACUAUAAAGAGGUGCAUCAUUGAGUAUACAGAAAUUUAUUUACCUUAUUUACAUACAUUGUCCAAUUUGAUGUGAGCUCUCAAAGCAUGCUUCCUAGUAAACCAAAAAGUGCACCACAAUCCUGGGAUUGCUCUCGCACGAACUCGCUUAACUUCGAAGUUCCUACGAAACCCGAAGCUAGUGAGCUCCCAAAAAGCAUCGUGCUAGGUAGAGAUGAGAAUACACACGAGAACCUCUCAGUCGGUCCCGUUUUGGGCCCCGACCACGCUUUCAUGGUUUUGUUUCUGGAAACUCACACGAGAACUUCUCAGUCGGUCACCCAUCCUGGGAUUGCUCUCGCACAAACUCGCUUAACUUCGGAGUUCCUACGGAACCCGAAGCCAGUGAGCUCCCGAAAUGCCUCGUGCUAGGUAGAGAUGAGAAUAUACAUAUAAAGCUUAAAGGAUCCACUUCCCUGGACGAUGUGGGAUCUUACAACCAGACAUGAGAUAUAGGAAACCAAUUCGAACCACCAAAGAACAAAUCAGAAAAACAUUAGAAUUUCAAACCAAUUAGUUAAAACAGUUCAUCAAAACAACUAUACAUGAUGUAGAUCAGCAUCAAACUAUUAUUUUUUCAAUCUUUUCAAAUAGACGGCAUCUUGAAACAUUUCAAAAUGAGGCGCCAUGUCUACAUGUACAGGACAUCCAAAACAAUCUUUGUUCACACAGAUGUGAUGGAAAACUGAAAUAAUCUCCCAGCUUCUGUUUCAAGCAAUUUUAUUCUGUAAAAUGGAAUACUAUGUCUAAAACUAAAGUUUGAACCCCAUCUUCGGUGUAUAAACUCUUUUCUUUGCUCACCGCUGAAUAAAACAUCCUCUUGUUUCCAUCAAACCAAACAACAUACCGGUGUAAGUUAUAAUGCAACCAGCACUAUGACCACUACUCUAGGAUUACAAUUCAAUAAACAAAUGCAUAGGAAAUCCUCAAUAGAUUAAUCGCAAGGUAGCUAAAGCCAUCCGGAAAGUGUUUGUCUUCUAGAUUUAUGAAAGAAGUUUUGCACUUGGUAACUAAUUUAUUAUUCUACAACUUAUGUCGUGUGCUUUAUCUUUUACUACAAACACUUAUGGAUGUGGCCAUACAUGCAUGAUAACAUACAUGAAGCUAAAAAUCCAGAUGCAUACCAAAUCCAAAUUCUUGCUCAAGCCGAAUUUCAAUGAAUACAAGACUUAGCAUAUUGGAAAGCACAUGGAAAAAUCCAGAUGCAUAACUAAUCGUAGAUUUGCUUGUAUAUUCACUAGGUUUCCCAAGUCCAACAUUGAUUAAAAACAGAAUUACAUCAAGCUUCAUGCAGUUCAACUAUUUUCUUUACAGCCAUGUGUACUCCAUCCUGACAACAUUCCAUAAGCCGGAAAAUCACUUAUAGUCCAUAAGACAGCAGCCUUCAUUGUAAAACUUUGGUUGGAAUACGCAUCAUAAGUAGGAGUGCCAACCUCCCACAACUCAUUCAACUCGUCAAUCAAUGGACGCAUGUAUACAUCAAUAUCUUUACCAGGACUGCGUGGUCCUGGUAUUAACAGAGACAACAAUAAAUUUGGCUGCUUCAUACACAUCCAAGGCGGCAAAUUGUAAACAGAAAGCACAACAGGCCAUGUGCUAUGGUCAUUCCUCAUUUUCCCAAAAGGAUUAAAUCCAUCACUGGCUAACCCCAAUCGGACAUUUCGAAUUUCUGAUGCAAAAUCCGGAUAUAUAUUAUCCAAAUGCUUCCAUGCUGGAGAAUCUGAAGGAUGUCUCAUAAACUCAUCCUUAGGACAUUCAGUUGCGUGCCACCUCAUAUGUUCAGCCAUAUGCUUCGACAUAAAAAAUCGUUGCAAUCUUGGUUUUAAAGGAAAAUACCACAUAACCUUAGCUGCGAUUUUUUUUCUUGAGCUAUCAUCUGCGUUGGUAAUUUUAUAUCUUGAUUUACCACAAACCGAGCACACGGUCAAAUCCGAAGUAUCUUUCCAAUAGAUCAUGCAAUCAUUAGGACAUGCAUCAAUUUUCACAUACGACAGACCCAAGUCAUUUAUAAGUUUUUUUGCCUUGUAACAGGUUUCAGGCAAACAAUCCCCUUCAGGCAACAUUCUUUUAAUUAACUCCAGUAAAGUGGUGAAGAUCUCAUCUGGCAUUCCCGCUAAACACUUAAUCUGAUACAGUCUUACAACUGCUUCCAAUUUCUUAAACUGCUUACAACCUGGCCACAAAUCUUGAUCUGCCUCUUCAAGCAACCUAAAAAAAGUCUCCACCUCUUCUGGACGCCCUUCCCUAAUGGGGGGUUCAGUAGACGGCCCAACACCUUCUUCUGUUAAUGGUUGGACAAAUACAUCAUUAAGAAAAUCAUGCAUGCCAAUCACCUCAUCUCCUGUUUCUUCUUCUCCAAUUGCCAUAUUUUGCUCUCCAAUGUUUUGCUCGCCAUGAUGUCGCCACCAAGCGUUUUUAUAAUCUUUAUCCAUAUCAUACAAUAUGAGAUGUUCAACAAUAGUGUUCCUAACAAAAGUGUAUCGAUUACAACAUCUUUUGCAAGGACAUCUAAACUUAUCAGGUCCAACACCAUUUGCAACUGCUUGAUCCAAAAACGAAUUAAUUCCAGCUGUAUACGCUUCAAAAUUUCGAGGUAUCGUCAACCAACUCUUGUCCAUGCUUUACCACUUUACGAGGGCAAAAUAGUACCUUCACACUAAGAUGCCUACAAUCUUUCAAUCCCUAUCAUGUAGGCAUAACUAUUAGAAUUUUCAAUUUCUAUCUUUCAACCCUCGAACUCUAUCACAAUUGCAAUCUUUUAAUUUUCAACACCUAUUAUAGUGAAAACAAAUUAAAAUAACAACAAAAAUUUAUCAAAAUUAUGCUUAUCUAAUCCAUUCUAAUAAAUACCAACCAAAAGUUAUCAAAAUAACAGCAAAAACAAAUUAAAAUAACAAUUACAAUACAAAAUAAAUUAAUUUAACAUAAUAUAUUCUUAUAUUACUAAAUAUUAUAAGUUUAUGUUAUAUUUAAUAUUGUUAAUUUAACAUAAAUGCUAAUAAAUAUUAUUCAUUUCCAUUUUCUCAUAACAAUUCAAGUGACAAAAUUAAUUAAUUCGACUAAAUAUAAAUUAAUUUAACAAAAAUAAUAGAAAUUUAUCUAAGCACUUAAAUUAGAAUUUUUAAAUAAAUAAACUUGUGUUUUAUACAAUUAAAGAAUUUAGUGAUAGAAACCUGAAUUAUGGAAGAAUUUCGUCGUCGUUGAAUUCUUUACGUAGUCAAGCAUCUCAAAUAAAUUCCCUACAAAAAUGAAUUGUAAAUAAAAAUUAAACAUAAUAGGAGAAAAUAAAAUAUUAAAAAGCAAAAAACACUUACUGUUGAAGAAGUAACAAACGAAAUUUGAAGAACAAAUAAGAAAGGUCUAAGUGAAAGAACAAGGGGAGGGUUUGUAAGAGAGGAAGAGCAAACAAGAAAAAUGGAAGAGAGGAUGAAAGAGAACACGGGAGGGUAUAUAAAGACCCUCAAUCCGUAGCUACAACCGACACUAAGUUUUAAAAUAUUUUAAAAAACUAAAAUCUAUGUCGCUCAGAACCGACGCAGGCUUUAAAUUAUUUAAAAACAAUAAUUUAUGUCGCUUAAAAGCGACACUAAUACUUUAUGUCGCUAAAAAGCGACGCUAUUAUUUAAAAUUAUUAAAAUAUAUGUCGGUUCUAAGCGACGUUAAAUUUUUACGUCGGUUUAAAAGCGACGUAGACAUUUUAUGACGCUAAAAAGCGAUAGUAAAUCCGACGUCAUCUUCAUUUAGUGUCGCAACUGUCUUAUCUGCCACUAUAUUAAAUUAAACCGACGCUAGCCACUGACACUAUAAGGCCCUUUUGUAGUAGUGAUAACUACUAUAACCAAAAUUCCAAAUCCACCAAGUCACAAAACUUGCCAAAAAAUUGUAGAAACAUAACUUUCACAAUUACUCUUACCAAAAAAAGUCUCAACCUUGAUUGAUCCCACUCUAAUUUCACAAAAAAUAAAAAUAAAAAAAACCAGUCCAACCAUCCAACCCUCCUCAACAUUAUUUCACCAAAAACACACAAACAAAAGCAACUUACAUGAAAUGGGACUGCCACUGCGUCAGUUCCCCACAAUCCACAACUAAAACUUUCCAAAUUUCCACAUGCGAGCACCCAACAAAUCCCGAAACACAAAUUUCAAUCCAAAACUGCAAACCCCAACAAUUUUAAACACAAAAACUAAUAAAAGAGUGAAGCUUUACGUGGUUGAAGACGGCCCAAGAAGUGAGACUCAAAACCGAAUGAUAUAAGUUUUAUAUGAGGUGAGCUUCUAAUAAUUCUUUGUUUGUGCCAAAAUUAAAGGUUGUGGAUCUCUAUGUUUGGUUGAGUUUCUGACUGGAGGAAUCAUUCCCAGAUCGCGAGCUUGCAUCUACACAGAAGUCCAUCUGCCGCACAGUUGGUUGUGGGAAAUGAAAAUUGUACUGUUAUUUUGUUGCAGCUAUGGCCUCCGAAAGAUGACAUUCAUGUAUGAGCAAGAGGGGGGGUUACUGACGAAUUAUAGUCAUAAUCUAGCUGAAUUUGUAAGAGUUGUGAUUUAAAUUCCAAUGCUUUCGAAUCGUUUUAGUGUUAAGUCAUUUCCUUAAUUUCAAGUUUAUGUUGAAAUUGUGUGUGAUUUUGUGAUUUUUACAGCGAAACCAUUUAGCUGAAAGGGUAUUCGAGGGAUGGGCUUUUCUCUCGAACUUGGAUUAUCUACCCUCCUAUUUCAAUGUCUUUCCCGUGCCCUCCUGUUUUGUUUGGUCACGGUUAAUCCAUGCUAACAUUUUAUAUUAUUUUUUAUAAAAAUAAUAAGACAAAAAAAAAUAGUAAUAUAAAAUAUCGACGUGAUUUAACUGUGACCACACAAACAGGAGGGCACCGAAUUGGGAGGACAGAGAAUCCAAGUCCUUUUCUCUGUCUUCCUCUUGGGUCAUGUCAUCAAAGGACUUUUUUUUUUUUUUUUGCAGACCCACUUCAAAUCGAAUAGAUGGAAACUACCAACUCAUCUCUUGGAGGGUAACUUCUGGAGUUGUUAAUUUUUGUGAAAUAUUUGAUCUGGGUUUUUUUUUUGGGGGGGGGGGGGGGGAGUUUGAAAUUAGAUACUUAGUUUUUGAAAUAAUGCAAUACAAUAUGAUUAAAGAAAGAAGAUUCUUAUAUGAUCCACCUUUGUUCCUUAUUUAUUUUUAAUAUUUUUUUGUUUUCUAAUUUCGCUUUGCAUCCUUUUUAUGUCCAUCAGUUGGCACUCCAUGUUUUAAACUAACUCUAAAUCUUUGUUGCCAACUAUUUUUUGUGUUUUUUGAAUUACAGAAAAUUUGCUAGGUUUAAUUGUUUUUUAAUUUUACGGUUUAAUUGUUUUCCCUUAUUAUGAUCGAGUGGUAAAUUAGUUGAAUUCCACAGAGAACGAAUAGCUAAAUGCAUUUUCUUAAAUAUCUUGCAGUGGCACACUCUGGGGAUUUGUUGUUUUCAUGCUGUUUAAUGUGAAACGUAUGCAUAAAACUAGAGAGGAUUUAUCUGUAGUCACCUUCAGUAAUAUUAGUAGCUUGCGUAUUUCAUUACUCUGAUACUCUUCUAGCUGCUAGUUGGAAGAUCAUAAAUUCAUAAUACUAUUAUUGGUUUUGAAAACUCUAAAAUGUGACUGUUUUCUAUGAACUAUGACAGGGUCUAAUCUUUAUUUCUAGAUUGCAAUCAUUCCAAUUGUGGUUAGUACAGAUUAUACUCAUCUCUUUUUCAGUUUCGGUUUGUCACAUGUUCAUAAAAACUAACUAAACUAACUGCAGUUGCAACAGAAGUAUGCUUAACGAAUCCACCAUAAUUAAAAAUCUAUGCAAAGGAUUAUUCAACUAUUUUGCUUAAGAAUUUUCAGUUCAAUGUCCCAAUAAAUGAAUAUUAAAUUGGCUUUAAUUCGAAAAAAAAAAUCCAUUGCAAGUGUAUAGUAAAGCAAAGAACCACAAUCUUUUAAUUUACUUUUUCUGCUUUAGAGUAUGGGUCCCUUUCCUUCUCUAAAUCCCAAUUUUUAACUUCAUUUCAAAGGCCAUUACAUUGCAAAUGCCUCUUAUUUUUUCAUUGAAGUAUACAUCUUAAGUUGGAACAGGGAAAAUCCAUUCUGGCCAAUCAUCCAGCCAACAAAGAUUUACUCCAACUCCUUUCAAAGUCUUAAUCACAUUUCACAAAAGUUCAUUACUUUCAUUUCGAACGAUUGGAUUGCCGAUCACUAAAUCUUUUUUAGAAUGUACCUUUAUCUAGAAAGCACUUGAUUUCAAUUCUUCUUGACAAAAAUUAAUUGUUUCGAUUAACGUUGUCUAAUUGGAGCCCAAAGGGUUUUGGGUCAUUGCAGGUGAGCCCAAAGAGAAAAAAAAAAAUAGGCCGAGAGAGGGAGCCCAAAAGGGCUUGGGUUAGGCCCAAAAGAUACCGCAGCAGUGCUGGGUGUGUUCGUCGGGGAAGAAAGUCGGCGCCACUGCUUCAGGCUUCCGUGCUUUCAGACAAUGGUGCUUGGGGUGAGUCUAUAGGUCGUGGGAGACCUCGAAGGUGAACAGAGAUUUGAAAAAAAAUCUCAACAUUCUUUGUAAAACCCUAGAACUUCAAAUCGGGUUUUCGAAAAAUCUAAUGAAAUUCAAUCGAUGUCGGGGACAAGCUUCAGGCCAUCAAACAUGGUGACCCGAGGUGUGAGGAUGGGCUGCAGGCCAUCUUGCGAUGGUGGAGACGUCAUGAAGGGCGUCGGGUUUCUGGGUUUUAACCCGGAGCCUGCAGAUCCGGCUUGGGAACUCGAUGUGGCCAUCCAAGCUUCAGGCUUGGUUUAAGAUGCAAGGUCAUGGGUUCGAAGAACCCAGACUGUGAUUCCCGAUUUCGUUUUUUUUUUUCCAAUUCAAAUAUAAUUCAAUUCAAAGAAUAUUCAAUUCAAUAUUUUAAUAAAAGUACAUAUAUUUGAUGCAAUUCAUGGCAAAUAUCAAAUUCAUAUAAUUCAUCAAUUAUGAAUAUAAUGCAUACACAAUUUAGGUAGAAUCUAAAAUUCGAAAAACGUAAAGUUGGGUCAUGCAUUAUGAUAUACUUUCCCUGUUUUUGUCAAUUGUUUUAUGUUGUAGCAUACAUGAAUGAUUUGGUACGGUUAGAGAGGGAAAGGAACAUAAGGCCGGAUCCAGAAAUUGAUGCAUUUAUGAAGGUUUGUUAUUAUAAAUUAAUUUUGACACAAGAAAAAAGAAAGAAUUGAAUUUCGCAUUUUGUGAUUGUUUUAGUUUAACUAAAGUUUUAAUUUUAUUUUGGUCAUUUUCAUUGCAGAGUUUGCAAAAAAGAAAGAAUUGAAUUUUGGAUUUUGUAAUUGUUUUAGUUUAAUUGAAGUUUUUAUUUUAUUUUGGUCCUUUUCAUUGCAGAGUUUGCAAUUGGGGUGUGUAUACGCGUGUUCUGUAUGUUGUCCUGAAACAUGUGAUCAUAUUUACCUUUUUGAUAAUGACUAUGAUGAUACAAAACAUAUCUACAGGAAAUCCAUGCGUUGCAGAUUCCCAUAUGAUCAGAGAGGUCGACUUAUCUUGGAGGUAAUGCUAAUCAAAAUAUGCUACCAACCACCAGUCUCAUCUCUCUAAUUCCAGCAUGCUUUUAUAGUGUUGCCCUGGAUCACAUAUGAUGGUGGUAUGCUCUCCAUUGUUGGACGUCUUUAACUUCUUUUUCAUUUUGCUUGAUAGCCAUUUAUACCCUGGAAAGCAAUAAAUAUGCCGUGUUGCAAACAAGCACAUAAAAAAGCGUAACUUUGAUUUGGUGGUUUUUAUAAGCUCAGGAUCUUUUCUAUAUCGAAGAUUGAUUUUUCUAUCUUAACCAUUUGCUAGAUAGGAAAAUUGCCUGAGAUAGUUCCCGCUUAAAUCAUGCUCUCUCUCUCUCUCUCUCUCUCUCUCUCUCUCUCUCUCUCUCAAAUAGAGACAUGAUUCAAAAUUAACAUCACAAAUAUUGUUGAUGCCACAUCUUUUGUUGAGAAGUCAUGAAACAAAAGACAUGUUGCUAAGAUCCUGAAAGAUUGAACAAUAUUUGAACAGUCAGUGCUUGGAUAAAUAGUAGAAGACACGUGCAUGAGGUAGCACAGAGGAAAAUCCUUCCCGCUUCUUCCAUGCUCUGGCCUCUGCCGCUUCCAGCUCCGAACUCGGAUCUGAAGGCCUCAUGGGUAUAUUCGCUCACACUUCUCUCUCUUAUUUCCCUGCUAAUCAUUCCAAAUUUUAUUUUUGUGUGGAAUUUUAAAUUUUGAAAUCAGGGUAGAUUACAACCAUGUGUUACACAUUUGGGAUUUUGAGUACAUAUAGUAUUUCUAAGUUUUCCCUCUUUGUUUUAGAGAUAAUCAACUGUUAUUAAGCUGUUUUCGUAGUGAUUAUAACUUCUUUUAGAACUAAUGAAUCAAGUGAUAGCAAGAUAAGCUAAUCGAAACAGCACAAAUAUGAAGGAAAAUAAGUUCUGCUUUCUUAAGGUUUCAAAUUUUUUCAAGUUUGGAGGCUUAUGUGAAUCUCUAACAAUUGUUCAAAUUGUUGUAUCCAAGUAUGCAUUAUACAUUCAAUUGAGCCAAUGAAGCAUGUGUGCCAACAAAUUUUGAAGAGUUUGGCUUGGUUUUCUCUCUUUGGUCUUUAAUAUUUAAGUGUGAGACACCUGUUUGUUCACUAAUUGAGACCCUUCCCUAAGUUUUUAGUAGAUAUUGUGUAAUUUGCUUUUAUGAGCACUUCUUUAAGCUGUCAAAUCCCCAAAAUGUACAAGGAGAUAUCAAGUUUAAAAAGUCACGAACUGUGAUCAAACCAAAUGCAGUGAAAUUAGGGAUUUUACACUUGAAAAACUUAGUUAGCUUUAGACCAUAGGAUUAGCAUUUUGCAUAUAUGAGUAUCAUUGACUUGCUCAUUUUAUUUUUCUGGAUAAGAAACAAACUAUUAUUGAAGGGAGAAGAAAGUGUACAAAAACAAAGUUUCUGUAAGCUUGCACUCAUAUACCUAAUAUUUUAAUUUCUUUUCUUGGCAGGUAUUUUCUCUGAUAUUAGAGGCUAUUACUUGGUGCUCUACGCUGAAUGACCUAUUUUUGAGAAAGGCAUGGAUUACUUUCAGGCAUUUUCCAUACACAAUUGGAUCAUGAUAAUAUUUUGAGGCAAUUCAAUUUAUUCCACAUGUGAAUAGUUUUGAAUUCAAAGUUUAGUUUUUCGAUUUCAAUCUGGCAUAUGAUAUUUGAAUAGCAGAAGCAUUUUCUGUGUCAUUUUAAUUUUCUGAAAGUUAACUAAGUGAAACAAUAUUUUGUCAUUUUUCUUCAGGUAAAUAAAAUAAUGUUUCGUAAUCUUUAUGUAAGUACUAUUGUCAAUCCAAAGCCACAAGAAAUACCAUUCAAAAGGGACUCAAGAAAAGCGAUAUUGUCGCUAGAACUGAAUAUGAAUGGUUUCUUAUAGCAUGUAUAUCCAUAUAUAGCAAGCAAAGUUUCACUUCAUUGGUUUUUAGAUGCUAGACCGUCUUUUUAGUUACUUUCUAUGGAAAUUAUUCAUGCAUGUUGUAGAUAAUGGUUUCAAAACCCGCAACAAAGUGAGGGCAAAUUUUCUAGUUCAAACUAAACAAAGAACCAAAUAAAAACCAUUCAAUCUCAUGGUAAAAUGCCAUUCCAUCAAAUAAGAAUGCAAAUAAACAUAGAAAACGGGACUAGCUACAACUAGAAGAAUCAAAUUUCUCAUUGUCAUAGACAGCCAUAACAAAUAAUUUCAUCCCAAUAGCCAUAAUAAAUAAUUUCAUCCAAUUUUAUCAUAAAGAUUGGAGGGUUCGCAGUGACUCUAUUCUUGAGCCAUCUUCAAUUCGGAACACACACAAGCGUCGUCGUUCUCCUUUUUGAAUGAAAACUCUCAGACCACGUAUAGUAUAUUAGUCCAUUUUUGUGGCUUUAGAAACCCUAUAAUUAUUUUGAUCGAAUGCAACUUAGUAGAAGGAAGUAGGGUGUUAAAAUGACAGAAAUAACCCUGAACACAAGUCAUGUCACUCGCACAUGACUUACUUUGAAUGGAAAACUUAACGGAAUUAGGAUGAGAUGACAAAUUGAUGAUAUGAGAAAGUUGGUAUGAAAAAUUACUUAAAAUUUUAGUUUAUUUGACAAAUUGAAAAAUAUGUACAAAGUUUAUAUGAGAUUUCAAAAAUUUUCCUUUUUCCCAAAUUAUCUAUUCUGAAGUUAGGAGCAAUUGACCGUAGCUUAGCUAUAGUCAAAUCUUUGCCACUCAAUUUCACACUAUUUACAACAAUGCCAUCAAAAUGGGGUUGGGUUGGGAGGGUAAUUCUCAAAAGUUGAGAGGGUAAUUUUGUCCGUAUGGUUUAGAACGGAUUGCGAUGGGUUUAGACGCGUGCGCUGUCUUCUCAUCUUUCACUCUUCCUGUUUCUGUCCUUGUCUACCGGAAAACCCACAAUCUUUCAUCUUCCUCUGCUUUUCCUCUCUCCCCGCUCCCCAUAUCCCUCGGCAUGAAGCACACAAACCAAGUAGUCACGGUCGAAAGCCUCAAACAUGGCGGAGGCGAAAUGGAGGUGCAGUGACGGUCGACAACUGCCUCCGGUGUCGAUGAUUUUGGCCGUCAGAAAGCGUCCUCGCUCCGAUUAUGGUAUGUUGAAUUUCUCGAUUCUCCCUUUAUUUGAGUCUCCUCUCUCCUUUUGCGUUUGUUUAGGGUUUAUAAAUUAGGGUUCUUAGGGAUUUUAGGGUUUUCUCGCUUUUUUUUUUCUUCAGAAAUUGCACUGUAUUUCUCAGAUCGGAGCUGUUCUUAUUUUGAAAAAAUUGGACUAAUGUUGAUUUUAGCUUUCGUCUUUCUGGUAAUUACUCUGAACCCCCAAAAGAUUUGAAAUUUCUGGUAAUUGUUCUCAUUGUUUUUGACAAUUUGUAUAAAUUGCUGCCAUUGUGUUGUGAAGUGUUAUGAGUAUUUCAAAGAACACCGAUUCUAUCAAUUGCAAUUCUGCAGAUGACUAAUGAAAAAAAAACGCCUAGAAAACACCAUCGGAUGAUGUUUUAAUCAAUUGAGAAAAGUGUAAUUACUCACAUUUUAACAAAUUAAGGUUUCUUAUUUCACUUCUUUGCAGGAAGCUAUUAAUUUUGCAUCAAGCGGAGAAGUGGCUGACGGUCAACGUAAGCUCAUAGCUCUUGCAGCUGCAAGAGGAAACUCAAGUGCAGUAAAUCCUCUGGUCACACAACUCACUAAUGGACUUUUGGGUGAUCUUCAUGAGAAGGUUAAUUUAUCCACAUUGGAGAAUUUCUCAUUAUACAAUUCUACUGAAUUUUUUUUUCAAAUUUAAAUUUGAAUAUAAAUUUUAAAAUUUUGGUUUUGAUUAUGCAGUUCGUGGAUUCUGUGCUGCUGUGGUAUAUUUAAAUGUUGCCGUCCUCCACUGUUUGAGCCUGGGCCUCCUCCACCACCGUAGUGGUAUAUUUUCUUAGGAGCCUACUUUGCAUGAAUUAUUUUGUGUAAUUGGUUGACUUAAAUCUUUAUUUGAUCUAACUAUUCCAAUUUGGCUAAUUUGUUUUUUAAUUUUUUAUUAUAUUGGAGUGGUAUUUUGGGUAUGCUAUCUUUGGAUGCUUAGAAAGAUAGUAAUUUACUUUUGUGUUUGAUUUUUCACUAAUGGUAUGUUGUGAUGGGGUUUAGUAAUUUUCAGUAUUCUUCAAUUAUUUUGAAUUUGCAAAAUCAAAUAACUCGUGGAAAUAAAUUAAUAUUUCAUUAAUCUGUAUGUAAGAGGACUUUACAAUAUGUCAUCAAGUUUAGACCGACAACAAUGAAUGGCAAACUUAGGAUUAAUGCCUCUAUUAAUUUGAUGUUUUCUCAUGGUCGAGAAAUAUAUACAGCUGUCCUAUUUAUUGGACAACAUCACUCAUCCUCUAUAUUUAAUAUUAAUUGCUUUUCUUAAUCUAUUUUUCCGUCAAUCUUUUCUGCUACCUAAUCUCAUUUGUUUUUCGAUUUUGUGAAAUGUUUUGGAAGCGGGAGUGUUUGAAAUGUAUUGAUGCUGAUGAUAGUGCCGAAUUUGGUGACACUCCUCAACUAGCAGAGCAGUAACAGAGCUUCUUCCAACUCAAAUUUAAUGAUUCAAGCUGCGUAAGAUUUGCAUAACAUUCCCAAGUUGUAGUCGAUGUGCCUUAGUGGUUGAGUGCUUGACUAAUGAAUGUAACCACUAAGAUUUGGAUUGUUUUUGGGGGGUAAGAAAUAACAUUGCUAAUUUCGGAUUUAUGGGUUUGAAUUUUUGUCGAGCAUGUGAUUCUUUGUUCUCUGUGUAUUGAUUGACUGAUGAAAAAAUGUAGCCAUAAAAUAUUGAUUUUGACAAUUUUGAUUAUGAGAUCGCCUCUUUAUAUAAUGUACAAUUUUUGUAGUUGCCUUCAAUGUUGUUGUCAUUGGCUCGGGUGCUCAAAAGAUCUAUAAAAUGUUGUUUUGCCAAUAAUGUGGGUAUUGAGUUGAAUAUCAUAAAAGUGAACAUCUGUAACUAUAGAUCUGCAAAUGUUUGGUAGAUAGAGCAAUUUGGGAAUUUGUUACCUAAACAUUGAUGGAUAACAUGUAAUCAUUUUUUUUACGUGAAUGUUGAAUGUUGAAUGCCUUAUCGUUUUGGUUUUUAACAUGCCAUUGUUUAUCUAUAUCCAAAAUGAGUCUGAAUCUUUUCAAAUAAAUGUUACUUUCUGAUUUGAGAAAUUGUAAUUCACCUUUUAUUGAUCUUUUCCUAUAUAUUUGAUUUACAGAGCUCUUGGGUUGUCAAUUGUGACUGGAAAUUCUACUCCUCACAUGGAUCAUAGGCAAGGUAUUAAAUAUCGAUGAUAUCGGAAAUAUCGAUAGUCCAAAAACACAGAAAUUUCGAUGGAAAUAUCGGGAUAUUAUCGAUAUCGAUAAAAAUUGAAUAAAAACCCUGGAAAUUGUAAGAAAAACUUGGAAAUUUUUAUUGAAACUUUGCAGGAUGUUUAUUUAGUCAAUUAUCUAUUAGUUUAUCACAAAAAAUUGGAAGGAAAUGCAUUGCAUGAUAGAUAUAACUUAUUUAAGUUGAUUAUAUAGCGAGCUGGCAAACAUUGUGAGUGUAGAAAAUAUGUAGUAAUUAAUGAAAGAAGUUUAAACACACCAUAAUCAUUUAUAUAUAAUGAAUUAGUACAAUAUUUUACACUUUAUACAUUGCAUGGUAAGAUACAUGAGUGACUUAGUAAGGUCUAAAAUAUCGAUGAUAUCGGAAAUAUUGGUAGUCCAAAAACACGGAAAUUUCGAUGGAAAUAUCGGGAUAUUAUGGAUAUUUUAGACCAUGAUCAUAGGUAAAAAACACUAUUUUCUUUUCUUAGUACUUUUCCUUCAAAUGUGUUUUAUUCUGAGAUUGUCUCUUUAUAUAUUGUAAAUUUCUAAACUUAUGCAAAC